rnacentral:lncRNA from 1 species
UGGUUGUAAGUACAAUUUUAUUGUCUAAAUAUCACAGAGUUAGCAAAAUAAAAAAUAUAAUAACACAAAUUGUCUAAUAACUAUCAACAACUAUCACUAUCUUUUAAUCAAUCAUUCAUUCAUACUAUAUGUUUGUAAAUCAUCUCUACUUUGACAUCAAUCAACCUUUUACAUGUUUAUGUUCAUAUAGAAAAGAUAUAACAUGAAUGAUACUAAGUAAAUGAACUAUUUACCAGAAAUAUGACAAAAGCCUGCAAACAGAUGAUAAGCUAAGAACAUCAUUGACUUUAAACAAAAUAGCUUGAAAGCUUGCACUCAAUACAGGAAAAUUGAUUUCUGAUAAUAUUAUACAAGUGAUGAUUCUAUGAAACUAAGUCUAAAAUUACUUAAAGUUACAUUCCAAUUCCUUUAUAAGCUACCAAGUUGAGAAUAAUAUUUUUUUUUUCAAACAUGUACAAGAACGAUAUAUGAAAUAAUUUGAAAUGCAUUUGGCAGCUAAUGCUGCUUUCAAACACUAGCAAAACCUAAGAGCACAAUCUGAUUUUUUGUACAAUUUUUCUAUAUUGCAUAAUUUGUUGAAACUAAAAAGGUACUGUUAAGUGAUAUCAUCACUUCCAUCUAUUCCCAUGUGAUUGAUAGUAUUAUAGUACUAUUUGAAAACAACAAGAAAGUUAGGUUUAUUUUGGUGUACCUAAUGAUGAUUAUAUUCACAUUAACAAUAAAACCUUUUAUGUUUAAAUUUUUUUUAGAUUAAAAUAUUUGUUUUUUCUAAAUUAAUAGACUGGUGGUUCUCUUAUUUUAACGCAUUGUAGUAUUACAUUUUUCUCAUUGAAAUUGAAUAGUUAUCACCAAUCAAAAUACUGGAUUUGGUGUUUCAAGCAGAAAAUUUGUAAAGAGGUGCAUUUUGUCUACAAAAAGUUUUAAAAGUCAAAUAGAGUAUUGAAGGCCUGAACUUCUGAAAGGUGUACAACAUAUAUUUAUAUAUUAGAACAUACGGAUAUAAAAAUAAUGUGUUUUGAAUACUCCCUGAUGAAAGCCACACAAGUAAUACAUUGCAAGUCAGAUACCUCUAGUCCUUUGUAAUCAUUUCAAACUGAUCAUUAACUAAAUGGCUUUAUAAAAAUCCUAUGCCAAUACUACUCUGUAAUAUCAGUAACCUUUGAACUUGGAAAAUCUACAUUUUACUUACUACACUAUCUUGCUCUCACUCUCUUGAAUUAUAAUUUUAUGAAUAAAUGCUAUAUAAUAAUUUCAUUUGAUCUUUAGAAAGAAACAUGUUGGAUCAGAAUACAGUGGCGG